rnacentral:rRNA from 1 species
AUUGAACGCUGGCGGCAUGCCUUACACAUGCAAGUCGAACGGUAACAGGUUAAGCUGACGAGUGGCGAACGGGUGAGUAAUAUAUCGGAACGUGCCCAGUCGUGGGGAUAACUGCUCGAAAGAGCAGCUAAUACCGCAUACGACCUGAGGGUGAAAGCGGGGGAUCGCAAGACCUCGCGCGAUUGGAGCGGCCGAUAUCAGAUUAGGUAGUUGGUGGGGUAAAGGCCUACCAAGCCUACGAUCUGUAGCUGGUCUGAGAGGACGACCAGCCACACUGGGACUGAGACACGGCCCAGACUCCUACGGGAGGCAGCAGUGGGGAAUUUUGGACAAUGGACGCAAGUCUGAUCCAGCCAUGCCGCGUGCGGAAAGAAGGCCUUCGGGUUGUAAACCGCUUUUGUCAGGGAAGAAAAGGUUCUGGUUAAUACCUGGGACUCAUGACGGUACCUGAAGAAUAAGCACCGGCUAACUACGUGCCAGCCGCCGCCGUAAGAC